GCCAGGCGUGGUGGCGGGCACCUGUAAUCCCAGCUACUCGGGAGGCUGAGGCAGAAGAAUUGCUUGAACCCAGGAGGCAGAGGUUGCAGUGCACUGAAAUCAUGUCACUGCACUCCAGCCUGGGCAACAGAGCAAAAUUCUGUCUCAA
rnacentral:SRP_RNA from 1 species